rnacentral:rRNA from 1 species
AUGGCACAUAUGUACCAGGAAAUUCCUGAUAAAGCUUUGGAGACUCAUAAGUUUGGAUCCAUCUACUAUCUUCUCUCUGGCUUGACCACCAUCAAAACCAUUCUGAGGCACACUUUGUUGCCCAAGUCAAGAGAUCAUAUGAUGAUCCAUGGCCAUUCUAUCAAUUUGCUUCACUUAUUUGAUGUGCCACAGAAGUUCAAGGUCAUGAGUCUCAUUGUUGAAACAGCGAAGAGAACUGCAGCUGAUCAAAAGAGAUCAUGUGGAUAUUCAGAUGCUUAUCAACUCCAAGAUGGGGACAUGGACAUAUCUUCUUGA